rnacentral:lncRNA from 1 species
UUAGAUGCGAUUUGUUAUCACUCAAAAAGAAAAAGAUGAUGUUGUGAAUCGUAAGCGCUAACCAAACUAUCUCAAAAGAACGUGCUGAUAGAAAAGACGCAUCCAUCGCAUUUAAGGACUCAGCCUCAGCCCUCACGGGUUUCGACCUUACUCAACCCAUCUGGACGUUGAAUCUACUGUUCAGUCUCUUGCCGUUAAGUCUCUUGUGGACCGCACCACCACUCAACUUAUUAGACUCACCCAACUCAACUUAUUAAUCUCCUAAGGCUAUUGUUAGGGGGCAAAAUAUUGAACCUAUUUUAGCCCAAUAAUAAAUAGCCAACAGAUACAAAUU